UACGGGGGGAGCAAGCGUUGUUCGGAUUUACUGGGCGUAAAGGGCGCGUAGGCGGUCAGCACAAGUCAGUUGUGAAAUCUCCGGGCUUAACUCGGAAAGGUCAACUGAUACUGUGCGACUAGAGUGCAGAAGGGGCAACUGGAAUUCUCGGUGUAGCGGUGAAAUGCGUAGAUAUCGUCAAGAACACCGAUAGUGAAGACAGCUAACUAAGCUUUAACUGACGCUGAGGCACGAAAGUGUGGGGAUCAAACAGG
rnacentral:rRNA from 1 species